GACGAACGCUGGCGGCGUGCUUAACACAUGCAAGUCGAACGGAAAGGCCCUGCUUUUGUGGGGUGCUCGAGUGGCGAACGGGUGAGUAACACGUGAGUAACCUGCCCUUGACUUUGGGAUAACUUCAGGAAACUGGGGCUAAUACCGGAUAGGAGCUCCUGCUGCAUGGUGGGGGUUGGAAAGUUUCGGCGGUUGGGGAUGGACUCGCGGCUUAUCAGCUUGUUGGUGGGGUAGUGGCUUACCAAGGCUUUGACGGGUAGCCGGCCUGAGAGGGUGACCGGCCACAUUGGGACUGAGAUACGGCCCAGACUCCUACGGGAGGCAGCAGUGGGGAAUAUUGCACAAUGGGCGGAAGCCUGAUGCAGCAACGCCGCGUGCGGGAUGACGGCCUUCGGGUUGUAAACCGAUUUCGCCUGUGACGAAGCGUGAGUGACGGGAAUGGGUAAAGAAGCACCGGCUAACUACGUG
rnacentral:rRNA from 1 species